GAUCCAGAGGAGACAUCCUUGUGACUCAGACUCCAGAAUUCCUCUCAGUGUCACUAGGAGACACCGUCACUAUCAACUGCAAAGCCAGUUCCACUGCUAGCAGCUACAUGGCUUUGCACCAGCAGAAACUAGGACAAGCUCCUAAACUUCUCAUCUACAGCACUAACUCUCGACCCUCUGGGAUCCCAGACCGGUUCAGCGGCAGUGGGUCUGGCACUGACUUCACUUUUAAAAUCAGCCGGGUAGAAGCGGACGAUGCUGGAGAUUAUUACUGUCAGCAGCAUUAUACCACCCCUCUCACACAGUGA